CCUACGGGAGGCAGCAGUGAGGAAUAUUGGUCAAUGGGUGCAAGCCUGAACCAGCCAUCCCGCGUGAAGGACGACUGCCCUAUGGGUUGUAAACUUCUUUUGUAUAGGGAUAAACCUACCCUCGUGAGGGUAGCUGAAGGUACUAUACGAAUAAGCACCGGCUAACUCCGUGCCAGCAGCCGCGGUAAUACGGAGGAUGCGAGCGUUAUCCGGAUUCAUUGGGUUUAAAGGGUGCGCAGGCGGACUAAUAAGUCAGUGGUGAAAUCCCAUAGCUUAACUAUGGAACUGCCAUUGAUACUGUUAGACUAGAGUGUAGAUGACGUAGGCGGAAUGCGACAUGUAGCGGUGAAAUGCUUAGAUAUGCCGCAGAACACCGAUUGCGAAGGCAGCUUACGAAACUACAACUGACGCUCAUGCACGAAAGCGUGGGGAUCAAACAGGAUUAGAUACCCUGGUAGUCCACGCCCUAAACGAUGAUUACUCGUUGUUAGCCUGUACAGGUUAGUGGCUAAGGGAAACCGAUAAGUAAUCCACCUGGGGAGUACGAUCGCAAGGUUGAAACUCAAAGGAAUUGACGG
rnacentral:rRNA from 1 species